AGUUUGAUCCUGGCUCAGCCUGAACGCUGGCGGCGUGGCUAAGACAUGCAAGUCGUACGGGGUGGAGCAAUCCACCCAGUGGCGGACGGGUGAGUAAUGGAUCGCUAACGUGCCCUCCAGUCCGGGACAGCCGGCCGAAAGGCCGGGUAAUACCGGGUGACAUGGCCCCGCGGCAUCGCGGGGCCCUCAAAGGGAAACCGCUGGAGGAGCGGGCGAUUUCGUAUCAGCUAGUUGGCGGGGUAACGGCCCACCAAGGCGACGACGCGUAGCUGGUCUGAGAGGACGGCCAGCCACAUCGGGACUGAGACACUGCCCGGACUCCUACGGGGGGCUGCAGUAACGAAUCUUCCGCAAUGCGCGCAAGCGUGACGGAGCGACGCCGCGUGGAGGUUAAGUCCUUCGGGAUGUAAACUCCUGUCAGGGGUUACCAAGUUCUGAGGAGCCCCAGAGGAAGGCACGGCUAACUCUGUGCCAGCAGCCGCGGUAAUACAGAGGUGCCAAGCGUUAGGCGGAAUCACUGGGCUUAAAGCGCGUGUAGGCGGGCCGUUAAGUGUCUCGUGAAAUCCCACGGCUCAACCGUGGAACUGCCGGGCAUACUGACGGUCUUGA
rnacentral:rRNA from 1 species